rnacentral:lncRNA from 1 species
AGUGAAGGCAGAGAGAGAGGCAGGCUGGGUCCGCCUGGCAGCCUACGGGAGGAGGCGGGAGCCGGGAAGGAGGGGAGCCUAGGCCCGGCGUGGGGAGGCCGGCAGGAAGGGCCUCGAGCCCAGUGCGGACCUUUCUUCAGCCUCUGUGCGACCGAGCCGCGCGCCAGGCUCCUGUGCGAGGAGGACGCGCUGACUCCCUCCGACCUGGGCUCCGAUGGAGCAGAAAUAGCGGGACCUGGACUUGUGGCGCGCCUGGUGCCACAUCUCGGGCUCUGCGAGCGUCCUGGCGCGGGAUCCUGCCGUGAGAAGGAGUUGGGGCGGGGGACCCGGCGGGGCAUUGCGGGAGAAGGCCUGGGAUCCCUGGGAGCCUUGUAGCGUGGGGGAGUUCACUGUGUAGAGAGGUUUCAUGUCUUCAUCUAUAUAGUCACUUAUUUGUCUUAAAGUUCUCGAAAUUCCCUCUUAGAGAAGGAGAAAGUUAGAGAACUGGAGGCUGCGUACCCUGAUUACGCAGAAGGGAAGCAGCCUCGCAUUCCCCGGGGCAGGCCCCCGCCCGCGCGUCCCGCCAGUAGGGGAAUUUAGCGGACGGCUGCGGUUGUCUGGUGAAAGGCUAUCCAAGGAUAAGGGGCUUCACUUUUCCCAAGUAGGGGAAAGAGAAGGGGUCUACAGGGCUAGGGGUGGAGGGAGCGGAUGCAGUGAGCAGCCUCCGCAGAGAAAUUGACAAUUUAACCAGGGACCUGCGGCAGAGACAAGGCGGAGACACUCCCUUGCCCAGGAAAGCCGCCAGAGUCCGGCUUGUACCUGGGGAAGAAUCCUUAAGACGGUCUGGCCCAACACUCCUUUGCUCACAGAGAAAGGGGAGAAGACUCCCGAGGGUGAAAAUGGUACAUUCGGAGCUGGAACUCAGCUCGCUGACCCCAAGCAGUGUUCCCUUCUUUUCGCCAGGUUUGCAUCCAAGAGAGGGGAGGACAGGGGCAAAAGGAUGCAGGGAGGCUGCUGAUUUCCACUGAAGAGCUAAUUUCCUGUGAGACAUUAACAGUGAUUUAAGAAAAAGAUUCCUGUAACUGUAAUGUCUUACAAUAACAGAAUGCAGGAGAGCACAUAUCAAUGAAGAAAAGACAAAAUGUACUUAUCCAUGAAGCUGAGGUUAAGAAACCAGUGUCUUCAAGAGCCAGGGACAGCACUGGGUCUGUGCAGAGUUGAGAGAUGGUGAUGACAUGUGGUUUCCAGCAUUCCUCACCCAGUCCAGGGACACUGUGGGUGUGCCCAGCUUAAGUCCAGUAACUGGAAAUACAAGCCCAAGUUCUGGAGAGUUUGAGCUGCAGAGAUAUAUAUGGGAACACUUUGAAUCUUGACUCAUUGGCCAUAACCAGCAGAGUGGAAAAUACAAGAAGAGAAAAAAACAUUGAACUGCGAUUUUAUAACAUCCUUUACUAGGCAGAGAGAAGAGGAAACACCAGGAAAGAAAACUGUAUUACGAUGUGAAAACUUAAUGUUGAGAAAUUCAGGCAUCUUGGGGUUAGUGAGGAGAAGUUUUAGGGGCUUAGAUUCUUCUAAACACAUGUACAGAAAUGCAUAUUUCAUCUGAUAUCAAAUGGCAUUUAUAGUGCUAAUCUUUACCUCAAGACUUCACAUCUUUUGGUGAUUGCAUCUUUUAGGUUUAUAGCAGCUAAGUUUGCAUGAAAACACCAGGGCUGUUUCAUUUCAGUCAAGAAUUAAUGUUCAUUGAUUGUGCUUCUGCAUUUCAUGUAACUAUUGUAGAAUUUGUUUUAGUUUUAUGAGGGAAUAAUUGUUCCAACUUCUAUAUAACUCAGGAAUUUACUCUCAAACAACACUGUCAAUUAGUUACUUAUCUCUCUGGAAAUGAUCUGGGAACAUGGAGAGGAAAGGGAGGAAGGGGCAAAAUCUGACCACUUAAAUCUAAGCAUAUUAGAUCAUUUUAUGCUAGAAAGUCCUGAAUGAUGUGACUUUCGUUCUUGUAAAACACCUCUUUCCAUAGAUUCAUGGCCCAAACAGUAUAUAAAGAGUGGGGAAGGAACUGCAUUUGCAAAUAGUUCAAAUCAUUGCUCCAUCUUAACUACGCAGUUCACAAAGUGUGAAGAAAUGUGAUCAUCUCAAAAAAGAUAAUGGGGAAAAAAUAUGUUUUGUUCUGUGACUUUAAAGUCUUGCAAUAUUUUACAUAAAUGAUAAUGGGUGCUUUAAUAAGAACUCUUGAUACUUUUGUUAUUGUAUUCAAUAUAUGCAUAUAAUACAACAGGAUGAUAUUGUUUUGGAUUUGGAAAUGUAUUCUUUCUUAUGCAAUCUUAUGCAGUCAUACUGCUUGAAUAUCAUUACCUGAAUUUAUCUUUCUUUUUUUUGUUGUUGUUUUACACUCUACUUAUUUGGUGCCUGUCAGUCUUUUGUCGUCAGUUUAUAUUCUACUAAACUCAAAAAGACAAUCUCAUACCUUUUGUAAUUGUAGGCAUUCUUUACUAGAUUUUUAAAUACACUUCAAAAAUUCAAGUACUUUGAUUUCAUGCCAUCAAGUAGCUGAAUCUAUCCCCCCGUCUCUUUUUAAAUUUAAGUGAGUAGUUCAAUUUCUGUCACUUUCUACUUUGUGAAUUCUAAAUCUUUUAAAACCAUCUUGCCAUUUUUCGUGCACUUACCCUUACAGAAAACUCUGUGAAACACUACUUAUCUCUACUUUUAUGUUUUUAACUCCUUUUUUAUAUUACUAUUCCCUCUGCUUUCUAAAUGCACAUAUUAAUUUGUUCUUUUUAUUCUCUGUAGCUCUUCUCAGUGUAUGAAUUCAGUUUCCCAUCAGUCUCCAUACAAUUAAAAAAAAGUUGAGUAUUCUGUUAUUUUAAUAAGAUAUCUAGUGCCCAUAUUCUAAUUCUGCCCCUUAUUUUUAAUAUAAUUUUAUUGUUGAUUUAAAAUGACAACAGUUUCAAUUCCCAGAAAGUGAAAGGAAACAAAGGAAUAAUAUUAUAGGCUUAAUUUUUAUCAGUGAACUUGUAGGUGAAGAAAAGAUUUGGGGAAGGAAAUGAACAUAUUAUAUUGCAAAAUAGUAAGGAACAAUCAGAUGUGUUUUCUAGUCUCUGGAAAAGCAUGUUUCAAGAAAUUCAAUGAAAAGUUCAUCAUGCUUGCUUAGAUUGUUGAGAAGCAAAAACACUGAUGAACAUUUGGAAGCAAUGAGAAUGUAAUUCUAAUCAUACUCUUUUAAUAAUGUUGCAAAACUCUCCAAACACUACUCUGUGUGGAUGUCUUUCAGAAUAUGAUGAAUACUAGUAGUCUUAUUCUGCCCUUUUCUCUCUAUCACAAUAUAUACAUUCUAUAUUGCAUACACAUAUUUUCCAAAUAUUACAUAUAAUUUCAUGUAAUUUAUAGACCUAUUAAGGCCCAACCAUUUUCUUGGAUAGGGGAUUCUUUAGAAGUCCAGCUUAAAUAAAGCCCGUAUAGAAAGUUUUUUUAAAAUUUAUACAUAAUCACCUAAAGUAACCUUAUCUACUGAACUCUUAGUACAUGCUACUGGAACCUUUUAUCAUGUUUCUUCCUGGCUUGCAUUACAACACUGUUGACAUAUCUCAGCCUUACUUCUAGGCUUCUUUGAGAGCAUGACUCAUGUUUGUAUUCCUCACUGAGGUUGAAUGAAUAAGAGAAACUACAGUAGUAGGAAAAAACAGUACAUGUACAUAUCAAUGAAUAUGAAAGGGUCAAAUGGAUCUAUUAUAGUAAGCACAAAAUCAACUGACACCAGCAAAGUAAACCCAAAAUUUUUAAUGGUAUUUUAAUAGAUCAAGAGGAGCAAGCAGAUUUUUGAGACAGUUGUCUCCUACUUUCUCUAUCACAGGGAGUAAUUUUAAAAGAAAAAUGGAGGGUAAGUUUCUUUAAGAGAAAAUUGUAGUUUAAAACAGGUCAUGGGAUAAUUAGAAAUAAUUUAAUUUCUUUAGAGGAUUUUAAUCUUUCAACUGCUUGCAAUUAGAUCCUAAGGCAAUAAAAGAAUAAGGAGAUUUGGAAAACCAUUGUCUGUAAUCUCUGAAGAAAAGUGGACAUUAGGGGAGUCAGUUGAAAAGCAAAGCUAUCACCAUUUUCUAAAGAGGAAAAAGGUGAACCUCACAAACUAUAGACCAAAAAAAUAGGACAUCGAGAGAAAGAAUAUGAAGCUAGCAUAGGUUCACAAAGAAUGAGUCAAAUCAAACAACAUGCAUUUUUUAUUUAUAAAGCAUGACUUGUUCAUUGUCAAUUCAUGUUAGCUUAAUCAUUAGGCAUUAAUGCCAUCACUGCAAUGCAUAUGUCAGCAAUAAAUAAUCAAAGACCAGGCUUCCAUCAUUCUGUUUAAUAUCUUCAAGUAAUGCUUAAGUUUGCAAAUGCUCUUUUAACACAUUCUCCAUAUGCAGCCUGCCCAGCACUGCACACAAUAGACCUGUUACUUCCCCCUCACGAGCACUCCUAAUAUUUCAUGUGCUCAUCCAAUUGACUUCUCCCACUGGUGCCUCAUAUUGAAUUUGUAGAAUCACACCUGCUCCUUUUUCAAAACUCUUCUGAGUUUUUUCUUAAAUAAUUCACUGACCCCAAAGUUGUCAGAUAUUUGAAGACUACUCGCACAAUUUUAAUAUUAUAAAUGUAUAAUGUAAAUGUAAUUAAGAUUUGUAUAAUGUACGAUGUACUUUGGUAAAUAAAAGUAUGCUGUGAAUAAAUACGUAUGAUACAAUUCAAAAUUUUACAUAAAUAUGUGAUAAAAUUUAGCUCAUAUUCUUUUUUUUUUUCUUUGAGACGGAGUCUCACUCUGUUGCACCCAGGCUAGAGUGCAGCAGCAUGAUCUCAGCUCACUGCAACCUCUACCUCCUGGGUUCAAACAAUUCUCCUGCCUCAGCCUCCUGAGUAGCUGGGAUUACAGGUGCCCGCCACCAUGCCCAGCUAAUUUUUUUCUAUUUUUGUUGUUGUUGUUGUUUUUAGUAGAGACGGGGUUUCACCAUGUUGGUCAGGCUGGUCUUGAACUCCUGACCUCAGAUAAUCCACCUGCCUCGGCCUCCCAAAGUUCUGGGAUUACAGACGUGAACCACGGUGCCCGGCCUAGUUCAUGUUCUUUAAGGACAAUUAUGAAUAUUUUUAUGCACUGUUAAUUUUCAUUAAGAUAUUGAUCAAUUAAUAGCUAUAUAUGUUCUAUAAAUUAAUCCUAUCUAGUUUCAAUCUUAAAUUGUUUGCAUAUACCAAUCUAGUUUAUUGUUUGCAUAUAUUUUAUAGUGUAGAGAUUAGGCAUUUUAAUAAAAUUUUAAAAUUUCCAGGACAUACUGUUAAUGACUAUGCUUCCUACUAUAGGCCAUAAUUAAUUUUUUUCUAUUGUCAACAAUAUUUUGGUAGGGAUGAUCAGGAAAUAAGGAAAUGUUUCCUUCAUUUGUUAACAAUAGGUGUUUGGGGAUUUUAAAAUGAAAAUUGAAGAAGUAAAAGACACCAUAUAUUUAGUUUGUUUGAUUUCGUGGCUUCAAGAGUUCAAUAAUUUAUUGAAAUAUUUUACAGACCAAAGAACAACAGAUAUAUUACGUUUAUAAGCCCCCACAUAUUUUAAAGGAUAAUGGUUUAUAUAUGAAAAUUCCCUGAACCUACACUUCAUC